GAAAGGCGUAGUCGAUGGGAAACGGGUUAAUAUUCCCGUACUUGGUGUUACUGCGAAGGGGGGACGGAGAAGGCUAUGUUGGCCGGGCGACGGUUGUCCCGGUUUAAGCGUGUAGGUGUGUGUUCCAGGUAAAUCCGGUUCACUUUAACACUGAGGCGUGACGACGAGGCACUACGGUGCUGAAGCAACAAAUGCCCUGCUUCCAGGAAAAGCCUCUAAGCAUCAGGUAACAUCAAAUCGUACCCCAAACCGACACAGGUGGUCAGGUAGAGAAUACCAAGGCGCUUGAGAGAACUCGGGUGAAGGAACUAGGCAAAAUGGUGCCGUAACUUCGGGAGAAGGCACGCUGACACGUAGGUGAAGUGAUUUACUCAUGGAGCUGAAGUCAGUCGAAGAUACCAGCUGGCUGCAACUGUUUAUUAAAAACACAGCACUGUGCAAACACGAAAGUGGACGUAUACGGUGUGACGCCUGCCCGGUGCCGGAAGGUUAAUUGAUGGGGUCAGCGCAAGCGAAGCUCCUGAUCGAAGCCCCGGUAAACGGCGGCCGUAACUAUAACGGUCCUAAGGUAGCGAAAUUCCUUGUCGGGUAAGUUCCGACCUGCACGAAUGGCGUAAUGAUGGCCAGGCUGUCUCCACCCGAGACUCAGUGAAAUUGAACUCGCUGUGAAGAUGCAGUGUACCCGCGGCAAGACGGAAAGACCCCGUGAACCUUUACUAUAGCUUGACACUGAACAUUGAGCCUUGAUGUGUAGGAUAGGUGGGAGGCUUUGAAGUGUGGACGCCAGUCUGCAUGGAGCCGACCUUGAAAUACCACCCUUUAAUGUUUGAUGUUCUAACGUGGACCCGUUACCCGGGUUGCGGACAGUGUCUGGUGGGUAGUUUGACUGGGGCGGUCUCCUCCUAAAGAGUAACGGAGGAGCACGAAGGUUGGCUAAUCCUGGUCGGACAUCAGGAGGUUAGUGCAAUGGCAUAAGCCAGCUUGACUGCGAGCGUGACGGCGCGAGCAGGUGCGAAAGCAGGUCAUAGUGAUCCGGUGGUUCUGAAUGGAAGGGCCAUCGCUCAACGGAUAAAAGGUACUCCGGGGAUAACAGGCUGAUACCGCCCAAGAGUUCAUAUCGACGGCGGUGUUUGGCACCUCGAUGUCGGCUCAUCACAUCCUGGGGCUGAAGUAGGUCCCAAGGGUAUGGCUGUUCGCCAUUUAAAGUGGUACGCGAGCUGGGUUUAGAACGUCGUGAGACAGUUCGGUCCCUAUCUGCCGUGGGCGCUGGAGAACUGAGGGGGGCUGCUCCUAGUACGAGAGGACCGGAGUGGACGCAUCACUGGUGUUCGGGUUGUCAUGCCAAUGGCACUGCCCGGUAGCUAAAUGCGGAAGAGAUAAGUGCUGAAAGCAUCUAAGCACGAAACUUGCCCCGA
rnacentral:rRNA from 1 species